UACGGAGGGGGCAAGCGUUAUUCGGAAUUAUUGGGCGUAAAGGGCGCGUAGGCGGCUAGAUGUGUCAAAGGUGAAAUCCCUCGGCUCAACUGAGGAACUGCCUUUGAAACUGUCUGGCUUGAGGCCGGGAGAGGGUAGCGGAAUUCCCAGUGUAGCGGUGAAAUGCGUAGAUAUUGGGAGGAACACCAGUGGCGAAGGCGGCUACCUGGACCGGUUCUGACGCUGAGGCGCGAAAGCGUGGGUAGCAAACGGG
rnacentral:rRNA from 1 species